AUUGAACGCUAGCGGCAGGCCUAACACAUGCAAGUCGAGCGAGCGGCGGACGGGUGAGUAAUGUAUGGGGACUGCACGAUAGAGGGGGAUAACUACUGGAAACGGUGGCUCAUACCGCAUACUAUCGGCUAACACAUAUGGUAUUAGCUAGUAGGUUGGGUAAAGGCUCCACUAGGCGACGAUCUCUAGCUGGUCUGAGAGGAUGAUCAGCCACAAUGGGACUGAGACACGGCGCAGACUCCUACGGAGGCAGCAGUGGGGAAUAUUGCACAAUGGGCGCAAGCGUGAUGCAGCGAUGCCGCGUGUAUGAAGAAGGCCUUAGGGUUGUAAAGUACUUUCAGCGGGGAGGCGUUACCCGCAGAAGAAGCACCGGCUAACUCCGUGCCAGCAGCCGCGGUAAUUC
rnacentral:rRNA from 1 species